rnacentral:lncRNA from 1 species
UCCACACGAAGCUCCCGGUCUGAUCGACUUCUCACGAAUGCUAGUUCGUUGCAGAACUCUUUUGACGGCUGAUGCUGAUCGAACUCCUUCGAUCGAUGUUUGUCGAGUCCUCGGAUGCUCCGGAUCGUUAGCAGAGAUACUUGAGAGGUUGAUGAAGUUCUCCCUGAAGUCUGGUGGGCUCACAACACUCGUAGCUCAUCUUCUCACUUUUCGAACUCUAGAC